GGGCGGGACACGUGGUAUCCUGUCUGAAUAUGGGGGGACCAUCCUCCAAGGCUAAAUACUCCUGACUGACCGAUAGUGAACCAGUACCGUGAGGGAAAGGCGAAAAGAACCCCGGCGAGGGGAGUGAAACAGAACCUGAAACCGUGUACGUACAAGCAGUGGGAGCCCCACCACUAAGCCAGUGGUGAACUCCACAUACGCAUCCUUUGCUGAGGAUACGGUUAACGGAGCGAAAGCGACGUUCAGCCGCAAAAGAAGCAGAGGGGGCUUAGUGGUGGGGUGACUGCGUACCUUUUGUAUAAUGGGUCAGCGACUUAUAUUCUGUAGCAAGGUUAACCGCAUAGGGGAGCCGGAGGGAAACCGAGUCUUAAUUGGGCGUUAAGUUGCAGGGUAUAGACCCGAAACCCGGUGAUCUAGCCAUGGGCAGGUUGAAGGUUGGGUAACACUAACUGGAGGACCGAACCGACUAAUGUUGAAAAAUUAGCGGAUGACCUGUGGCUGGGGGUGAAAGGCCAAUCAAACCGGGAGAUAGCUGGUUCUCCCCGAAAGCUAUUUAGGUAGCGCCUCGUGAAUUCAUCUCCGGGGGUAGAGCACUGUUUCGGCCAGGGGGCCAUCCCGGCUUACCAAUCCGAUGCAAACUGCGAAUACCGGAGAAUGUUAUCACGGGAGACACACGGCGGGUGCUAACGUCCGUCGUGAAGAGGGAAACAACCCAGACCGCCAGCUAAGGUCCCAAAGUCAUGGUUAAGUGGGAAACGAUGUGGGAAGGCCCAGACAGCCAGGAUGUUGGCUUAGAAGCAGCCAUCAUUUAAAGAAAGCGUAAUAGCUCACUGGUCGAGUCGGCCUGCGCGGAAGAUGUAACGGGGCUAAACCAUGCACCGAAGCUGCGGCAGCGAACGUAUCACCCAAGACAACUUUACACAGUUGACGACUGACGGAGCGAAGCGACGUCAAAGCGUUUUACAACGUCGAGUUGGCUUAGGGAUACGUUCGUUGGGUAGGGGAGCGUUCUGUAAGCCGUUGAAGGUGUGUCGUGAGGCAUGCUGGAGGUAUCAGAAGUGCGAAUGCUGACAUAAGUAACGAUAAAGCGGGUGAAAAGCCCGCUCGCCGGAAGACCAAGGGUUCCUGUCCAACGUUAAUCGGGGCAGGGUGAGUCGACCCCUAAGGCGAGGCCGAAAGGCGUAGUCGAUGGGAAACGGGUUAAUAUUCCCGUACUUGGUGUUACUGCGAAGGGGGGACGGAGAAGGCUAUGUUGGCCGGGCGACGGUUGUCCCGGUUUAAGCGUGCAGGUGUGUGUUCCAGGUAAAUCCGGUUCACUUUAACACUGAGGCGUGAUGACGAGGCACCACGGUGCUGAAGCAACAAAUGCCCUGCUUCCAGGAAAAGCCUCUAAGCCUCAGGUAACAUCAAAUCGUACCCCAAACCGACACAGGUGGUCAGGUAGAGAAUACCAAGGCGCUUGAGAGAACUCGGGUGAAGGAACUAGGCAAAAUGGUGCCGUAACUUCGGGAGAAGGCACGCUGACACGUAGGUGAAGUGGUUUACCCAUGGAGCUGAAGUCAGUCGAAGAUACCAGCUGGCUGCAACUGUUUAUUAAAAACACAGCACUGUGCAAACACGAAAGUGGACGUAUACGGUGUGACGCCUGCCCGGUGCCGGAAGGUUAAUUGAUGGGGUCAGCGCAAGCGAAGCUCCUGAUCGAAGCCCCGGUAAACGGCGGCCGUAACUAUAACGGUCCUAAGGUAGCGAAAUUCCUUGUCGGGUAAGUUCCGACCUGCACGAAUGGCGUAAUGAUGGCCAGGCUGUCUCCACCCGGGACUCAGUGAAAUUGAACUCGCUGUGAAGAUGCAGUGUACCCGCGGCAAGACGGAAAGACCCCGUGAACCUUUACUAUAGCUUGACACUGAACACUGGUCCUUGAUGUGCAGGAUAGGUGGGAGGCUUUGAAGUGUGGACGCCAGUCUGCAUGGAGCCAUCCUUGAAAUACCACCCUUUAAUGGCUGGUGUUCUAACGUGGGCCCGUGAACCGGGUUGCGGACAGUGUCUGGUGGGUAGUUUGACUGGGGCGGUCUCCUCCUAAAGAGUAACGGAGGAGCACGAAGGUUGGCUAAUCCUGGUCGGACAUCAGGAGGUUAGUGCAAUGGCAUAAGCCAGCUUGACUGCGAGCGUGACGGCGCGAGCAGGUGCGAAAGCAGGUCAUAGUGAUCCGGUGGUUCUGAAUGGAAGGGCCAUCGCUCAACGGAUAAAAGGUACUCCGGGGAUAACAGGCUGAUACCGCCCAAGAGUUCAUAUCGACGGCGGUGUUUGGCACCUCGAUGUCGGCUCAUCACAUCCUGGGGCUGAAGUAGGUCCCAAGGGUAUGGCUGUUCGCCAUUUAAAGUGGUACGCGAGCUGGGUUUAGAACGUCGUGAGACAGUUCGGUCCCUAUCUGCCGUGGGCGCUGGAAGAUUGAGGGGGGCUGCUCCUAGUACGAGAGGACCGGAGUGGACGCAUCACUGGUGUUCGGGUUGUCAUGCCAAUGGCACUGCCCGGUAGCUACAUGCGGAAGAGAUAAGUGCUGAAAGCAUCUAAGCACGAAACUUGCCCCGAGAUGAAUCUUCCCUGAGCCUUUAAGGCUCCUGAAGGAACGUUGAAGACGACGACGUUGAUAGGCCGGGUGUGUAAGCGCAGCGAUGCGUUGAGCUAACCGGUACUAAUGAACCGUGAGGCUUAACCUUACAAC
rnacentral:rRNA from 1 species